rnacentral:rRNA from 1 species
UACAGAGGAUGCAAGCGUUAUCCGGAAUGAUUGGGCGUAAAGCGUCUGUAGGUGGCUUUUUAAGUCCGCCGUCAAAUCCCAGGGCUCAACUCUGGACAGGCGGUGGAAACUACCAAGCUGGAGUACGGUAGGGGCAGAGGGAAUUUCCGGUGGAGCGGUGAAAUGCGUAGAGAUCGGAAAGAACACCAACGGCGAAGGCAGCUCGCUGGGACGGUACUGACGCUGAGGCGCGAAAGCGUGGGGAGCAAACAGG